UAUUAUCUCAACUAUAUUUACAACAUCAUGAGCUGCAGCAGAAGAGGAAUUGCAGUCAUUACCUUCGAACCUAACAGCCCAUGAAACCAAGUGCCAAGCCUGCCAUAACCAUAAACCACCGCUUGCAGACAUCCAGAAAUGUAGAUGGUGCUUAACCACAGCUCCCUGGCUUUAGACCUGCAACACACUACAGUCAUCUGCACAGUCAUUCUGACCAGAAAGGCUGUUAUUAAGUUCAUGUACAGCCUUGGUUCUGAGGAAGAGCUGCAGAGGCACAAAGUCUCCAAGGGUACCAGGCACUGACAGAGGAAUUACAAUCACAGAGAUUCUUCUGCAACCUUGAUUUGAGGCUGGGGAAGGGCAUCUGGGGUUUUCUUAAAACAAACUAUCUCUCAGGUCCACCAACAACCGAUCAGGUGCAGAAAUACGAGACCAUGAAGCCAAAGAUGAAGCCCAGUUGUACACACGCAUGUGAGAAGAUGAAAAUAGCUGCAGAACAGCAUGUGGACGUUUCAGAUGUGACUCGUCUGACUUUCUGUGAAGAAUAAUACAGUGUUUAUAAUGUUUUAAAUAUGGGUAGAAAGAUGAUUGGAAAACAAUGACCUCAGGCUGUCUUAUUACAGAUGGCCACAGGGUCUCUAAAUUUCAUAAGUGAUCAAUACUCAUGGCGAUGAUUAAGAGAAGUCAUUUUCUGAGUUGUAACCUUGUUAAAGAACUUCUCUGUGCUGCACAGAACAACUCUUUGGUCAGUUUUUCCUGGGGAGCCAUUUCUAGUAUAAUUAAAGAGUUUGCCUCUCCUCCCACAGCCAAGACCUUCUCCCUCUUGCCUCAAGCUGUGGGUUUUUCAUUUAACACUCCAAUGCCUCACCAACAAUAAAAAAAAAAAAAAUCAAAUCAAAUCAUCCAGACCACUGAAUGGACGAUGAUUUCUUUUUUUCUUUUUUUUCUUUUUUUUCCUGGGAUUUGACCUUCAAGCUGUUAAACGAAUUCACAAAACAAAC
ensembl:lncRNA